GACGAACGCUGGCGGCGUGCUUAACACAUGCAAGUCGAGCGGAAAGGCCCUUCGGGGUCCUCGAGCGGCGAACGGGUGAGUAACACGUGGGUAACCUGCCCCAGACUUUGGGAUAACCCUCGGAAACGGGGGCUAAUACCGGAUACGACACAGCUUCGCAUGGGGUCUGUGUGGAAAGUUUUUCGGUUUGGGAUGGGCUCGCGGCCUAUCAGCUUGUUGGUGGGGUGAUGGCCUACCAAGGCGACGACGGGUAGCCGGCCUGAGAGGGCGACCGGCCACACUGGGACUGAGACACGGCCCAGACUCCUACGGGAGGCAGCAGUGGGGAAUAUUGCACAAUGGGCGGAAGCCUGAUGCAGCGACGCCGCGUGAGGGAUGACGGCCUUCGGGUUGUAAACCUCUUUCAGCAGGGACGAAGCGUAAGUGACGGUACCUGCAGAAGAAGCGCCGGCCAACUACGUG
rnacentral:rRNA from 1 species